GUCGAGCGAACAGAAAAGGAGCUUGCUCCUUUGACGUUAGCGGCGGACGGGUGAGUAACACGUGGGCAACCUACCCUAUAGUUUGGGAUAACUCCGGGAAACCGGGGCUAAUACCGAAUAAUCUCUUUUACUUCAUGGUGAAAGACUGAAAGACGGUUUCGGCUGUCGCUAUAGGAUGGGCCCGCGGCGCAUUAGCUAGUUGGUGAGGUAACGGCUCACCAAGGCGACGAUGCCUAGCCGACCUGAGAGGGUGAUCGGCCACACUGGGACUGAAACACGGCCCAGACUCCUACGGGAGGCAGCAG
rnacentral:rRNA from 1 species